AUUGAACGCUGGCGGCAGGCCUAACACAUGCAAGUCGAGCGGAUGAAGGGAGCUUGCUCCUGGAUUCAGCGGCGGACGGGUGAGUAAUGCCUAGGAAUCUGCCUGGUAGUGGGGGAUAACGUCCGGAAACGGGCGCUAAUACCGCAUACGUCCUGAGGGAGAAAGUGGGGGAUCUUCGGACCUCACGCUAUCAGAUGAGCCUAGGUCGGAUUAGCUAGUUGGUGGGGUAAAGGCCUACCAAGGCGACGAUCCGUAACUGGUCUGAGAGGAUGAUCAGUCACACUGGAACUGAGACACGGUCCAGACUCCUACGGAAGGCAGCAGUGGGGAAUAUUGGACAAUGGGCGAAAGCCUGAUCCAGCCAUGCCGCGUGUGUGAAGAAGGUCUUCGGAUUGUAAGCACUUUAAGUUGGGAGGAAGGGCAGUAAGUUAAUACCUUGCUGUUUUGACGUUACCAACAGAAUAAGCACCGGCUAACUUCGUG
rnacentral:rRNA from 1 species